rnacentral:rRNA from 1 species
GACGAACGCUGGCGGCGUGCCUAACACAUGCAAGUCGAACGGAAAGGCACUGCUUUUGUGCGGUUCUCGAUUGGCGAACGCGUGCGUAUCACGUGUGUAUCCUGCCCUUCACUUUGGGAUAACUUCAGGUAACUGGGGUUAAUAUCGGAUAGCAGCCCCCGCUCCAUGGUGGGCGUUGGAAAGUCUCGGCUGUUGGGGUUGGAUUGGCGGCUUACCGGCUUGUUGGUGGGGGAGUGGCUUACCCAGGCUUUGACGGGUAGCCGGCCUGUGAGGGUGGACGGGGUCAAUACGACUGCGAGACGGCGCAGACUCGAACGGUAGGCAGCGGUGGCGAGUAUGGUACAAUGAGAGGGAGCCUGAGGCGGAGACGCCGCGUGUGGGAUGACGGCCUUCGGGUUGUAAACCGCUUUAGCCUGUGACGAAGCGUGAGUGACGGUAAUGAAUAAAGAAGCACCGGCUAACUACGUG